GGGGAAUAUUGGACAAUGGGCGCAAGCCUGAUCCAGCCAUGCCGCGUGAGUGAUGAAGGCCUUAGGGUUGUAAAGCUCUUUCAGUGGGGAAGAUAAUGACGGUACCCACAGAAGAAGCCCCGGCUAACUUCGUGCCAGCAGCCGCGGUAAUACGAAGGGGGCUAGCGUUGUUCGGAUUUACUGGGCGUAAAGCGCACGUAGGCGGAUUGGUCAGUUAGGGGUGAAAUCCCAGAGCUCAACUCUGGAACUGCCUCUAAUACUGCCAGUCUCGAGUCCGGAAGAGGUAAGUGGAACUCCUAGUGUAGAGGUGGAAUUCGUAGAUAUUAGGAAGAACACCAGUGGCGAAGGCGGCUUACUGGUCCGGCACUGACGCUGAGGUGCGAAAGCGUGGGGAGCAAAC
rnacentral:rRNA from 1 species